AUACUUACCUGGCAGGGAAGAUACCAUGAUCACGAAGGUGGUUUUCCCAGGGCGAGGCUUAUCCAUUGCACUCCGGAUGUGCUGACCCCUGCGAUUUCUCCAAAUGUGGGAAACUCGACUGCAUAAUUUGUGGUAGUGGGGGACUGCGUUCGCGCUUUCCCCUG
ensembl:snRNA U1 U1 spliceosomal RNA